UACGGGGGGGGCAAGCGUUGUUCGGAAUUACUGGGCGUAAAGGGCUCGUAGGCGGCCAACUAAGUCAGACGUGAAAUCCCUCGGCUUAACCAGGGAACUGCGUCUGAUACUGGAUGGCUUGAGGUUGGGAGAGGGAUGCGGAAUUCCAGGUGUAGCGGUGAAAUGCGUAGAUAUCUGGAGGAACACCGGUGGCGAAGGCGGCUCUCUGGGACGGUACUGACGCUGAGACGCGAAAGCGUGGGGAGCGAACAGG
rnacentral:rRNA from 1 species